UACGGGGGGGGCAAGCGUUGUUCGGAAUUACUGGGCGUAAAGGGCUCGUAGGCGGCCAACUAAGUCAGACGUGAAAUCCCCCGGCUUAACCGGGGAACUGCGUCUGAUACUGGAUGGCUUGAGUUCGGGAGAGGGAUGCGGAAUUCCAGGUGUAGCGGUGAAAUGCGUAGAUAUCUGGAGGAACACCGGUGGCGAAGGCGGCAUCCUGGACCGAUACUGACGCUGAGGAGCGAAAGCCAGGGGAGCAAACGGG
rnacentral:rRNA from 1 species